UUAAUGAAUGAAUGCAGGGGAAGGAGGGCAGGAAUGGAGUAAAGCCUGCUGACAUGCUGAAACAAGUCUGCCGCUCUUAUGGCCAGUAGCCCUGGCUGAGCAAUAAGGCAGGAGAAGGUUGUUGGAGGGACUUUCCAGCAGAACAGGCAUGGGUCUGCACAGCUAAAGUAAUCUUAAGAAGGGGCUACUCCCACAAUAACCUCCCCAGGGGCGAAUUUGAACACAAGGUUAAUGUAAUAGCUUCUCACCAGCUGACUUUGCCUACACUAGGCAAUCCUGUUGGACAGGACACUGAAUACUGACCACCACCUUUCACCCCCCAAACCAGUGUUACAAGCAGGUGUCCUCUUAGCAUGGAUGAGGAAGAGAACCCAGAUGAGUGUGCUUCCCAUGCAUUAUUAGAUAGCACUUUUGUCUUCAAACUUGUUUGGCUUUUUGCUCACCCUACACCACAAGGCUUGUUUGGAGGCUUCUCCAACUAGUGCUGUGGAAAGGAUUGUGUCAGGAGGCCAGAAACUGGGGGCAUGCCUUGUGGAAGAGGGAAACGCUGGAGACAAAGCAAACAGAUACUCCCCCCCUCCUUUAUACAGAAGCGUCUUUACUAACGAAGGAAGAGACCUGCACUGUUGGAUAGUGUUGGUAUGCCCUACUGGACAACUGCCGUGUUCCAGCCCAGAAGGUGGAACUUCAGCAGAAAUACAUUCUGCUGGAGAGGUGCUACAGUUACACCUUUUACCCAGCAGGGGCUGCUGUGGCAUCAGGACAAAGGGCAGCUGGUCCAGGGCAGGAGCAGCCCCAGAUUCAGCUAGGGAAGAGAAGAAGCUGCAUUCUUCACAGCGCCCUGCCUGUGGGGCCAAGUUAGGAGGCAUGGCACAUGUGAGGAUGGCCAUCGUGGGGCAUAUGGCUUUCGGGGGGGUCACAGACUGUGGUCCAGAAGGGCUAGUGAGGGGGUUGAAUAGGAGUCGGGAUGCAGGGACAAAUGGGAGUGGGUGGCUGAGUGGGGAUGCAGGGCCACAUGGGGUCUGAGGGUGGCUGAGUAGGGGGUAUGGAAAAUACAUUUCUGUAUUGUAGUUGAAAUGAACUAUUACUCCA